GUGGGGAAUAUUGGACAAUGGGCGAAAGCCUGAUCCAGCCAUGCCGCGUGUGUGAAGAAGGUCUUCGGAUUGUAAAGCACUUUAAGUUGGGAGGAAGGGCAGUAAGUUAAUACCUUGCUGUUUUGACGUUACCAACAGAAUAAGCACCGGCUAACUUCGUGCCAGCAGCCGCGGUAAUACGAAGGGUGCAAGCGUUAAUCGGAAUUACUGGGCGUAAAGCGCGCGUAGGCGGUUUUGUAAGUUGGAGGUGAAAUCCCCGGGCUCAACCUGGGAACUGCCUCCAAAACUGCAUGACUAGAGUACGGUAGAGGGUAGUGGAAUUUCCUGUGUAGCGGUGAAAUGCGUAGAUAUAGGAAGGAACACCAGUGGCGAAGGCGACUACCUGGACUGAUACUGACACUGAGGUGCGAAAGCUAGGGGAGCAAACGGGAUUAGAAACCCUUGUAGUCC
rnacentral:rRNA from 1 species